GAGUUUGAUCCUGGCUCAGAUUGAACGCUAGCGGGAUGCUUUACACAUGCAAGUCGAACGGCAGCGCGAGAGAGCUUGCUCUCUUGGCGGCGAGUGGCGGACGGGUGAGUAAUAUAUCGGAACGUGCCCAGUAGCGGGGGAUAACUACUCGAAAGAGUGGCUAAUACCGCAUACGCCCUACGGGGGAAAGGGGGGGAUCGCAAGACCUCUCACUAUUGGAGCGGCCGAUAUCGGAUUAGCUAGUUGGUGGCGUAAAGGCUCACCAAGGCAACGAUCCGUAGCUGGUUUGAGAGGACGACCAGCCACACUGGGACUGAGACACGGCCCAGACUCCUACGGGAGGCAGCAGUGGGGAAUUUUGGACAAUGGGGGAAACCCUGAUCCAGCCAUCCCGCGUGUAUGAUGAAGGCCUUCGGGUUGUAAAGUACUUUUGGCAGAGAAGAAAAGGUAUCCCCUAAUACGGGAUACUGCUGACGGUAUCUGCAGAAUAAGCACCGGCUAACUACGUGCCAGCAGCCGCGGUAAUAC
rnacentral:rRNA from 1 species